rnacentral:rRNA from 1 species
CCUACGUGGGGCUGCAGUGGGGAAUUUUGGACAAUGGGGGCAACCCUGAUCCAGCCAUGCCGCGUGCGGGAAGAAGGCCUUCGGGUUGUAAACCGCUUUUGUCAGGGAAGAAAUCUUCCGAGCUAAUACCUUGGGAGGAUGACGGUACCUGAAGAAUAAGCACCGGCUAACUACGUGCCAGCAGCCGCGGUAAUCCGUAGGGUGCAAGCGUUAAUCGGAGUUACUGGGCGUGAAGCGUGCGCACAGGGGUGAAAUCCCCGGGCUUAAACUGGGAACUGCACUUGUGACUGUACGGCUGGAGUACGGCAGAGGGGGAUGGAAUUCCGCGUGUAGCAGUGAAAUGCGUAGAUAUGCGGAGGAACACCGAUGGCGAAGGCAGUCCCCUGGGCCUGUACUGACGCUCAUGCACGAAAGCGUGGGGAGCAAACAGGAUUAGAUACCCCUGUAGUC